rnacentral:rRNA from 1 species
CUCGUAGGUGGUUUGUCGCGUUGUUCGUGAAAACUCACAGCUUAACUGUGGGCGUGCGGGCGAUACGGGCAGACUAGAGUACUGCAGGGGAGACUGGAAUUCCUGGUGUAGCGGUGGAAUGCGCAGAUAUCAGGAGGAACACCAAUGGCGAAGGCAGAUCUCUGGGCCGUAACUGACGCUGAGGAGCGAAAGCAUGGGGAGCGAACA